GAUGAAGAACGCAGCGAAAUGCGAUAAGUAAUGUGAAUUGCAGAAUUCAGUGAAUCAUCGAAUCUUUGAACGCACAUUGCGCCCUCUGGUAUUCCGGGGGGCAUGCCUGUUCGAGCGUCAUUAUAACCACUCAAGCUCUCGCUUGGUAUUGGGGUUCGCGGUUCCGCGGCCCCUAAAAUCAGUGUCGGUGCCUGUCGGCUCUACGCGUAGUAAUACUCCUCGCGAUUGAGUCCGGUAGGUCUACUUGCCAGCAACCCCCAAUUUUUACAGGUUGACCUCGGAUCAGGUAGGGAUACCCGCUGAACUUAAGCAUAUCAAUAAGCGGAGGA
rnacentral:misc_RNA from 1 species